GGGCUACACACGUGCUACAAUGGCGGUGACAGUGGGAAGCCAGGUAGCGAUGCCGAGCUGAUCUCAAAAAGCCGUCUCAGUUCGGAUUGCACUCUGCAACUCGAGUGCAUGAAGGUGGAAUCGCUAGUAAUCGCGGAUCAGCAUGCCGCGGUGAA
rnacentral:rRNA from 1 species